ACCUCUCCUCUCGUUUCUCCUCCCCCAAGACCCUCAGACCUCUCCCUCCCUCCAGUGACGGCCGCCGGCGGGAAGGCCCCGAGAGGGAGUGAGAGCGGACGGGUGAGUGGGAACGACUUGGCAGCCACCUGGGCACCAGCGAGCAUCAAAGGGUUAAGCGGGGCCCACGAACAGCGGGCUCGCCUGGCCACUCCCCAGCCACAAACUUUGGCUGCGCGGUUUGCGUCUCGGGUCCUUUCUGUCACCACCGAGCCCACGCUCGCCUGCCCGGCCCGGCCCGGCCCAGCCCUGCCCUGCCCUGCCCUGCCCUGCUCAGGGCUGCGUCUCAGGGAGCUGGCCUCCCCUCGCGCAGCAUCCUCUUGGCCCCGGAGCCGCCGCUGGCCGGAUCCGAGGCCGAUCCCGGCCCCUGCGGCCACGGCCAGGGGCCGAGGAGAAAAGUUGGCCACCCCAGAGCCUCCGGGUAUCCGGGACUCGAACACACGCAUCGCUGCAAUUGAACAGACUAUCCGGAGCCCUCCUACCCUGUGCUGAGCUGCAUCUGAUUGGCUGUGGCGAUAUGUGCGUUUCGUUAACUUCUGCCCAUUGACAUAUUAAAUGAAGAUGCACAGGGGAGCGACAUCAGUGAUUUCAAUUGACUCGUCAAUUGCCAGUACAUAGCCCUCAUCAGGCUUCGCUUUGCUAACAAGCUGAUCCAGCACAUGUGACAACAAGGAGGCCAGUCCUUCAAACAAAUGACAUGUUUGAUAAAGAAAUCUUUUCAAACUCAUUAUGCGUUUCGUUUAGCUUUUGUCUUUUGCCCUAGUAUAGCAUCUGUUGCAGGAGGCAUCCGUCCCUUCCUUGAUCGUUGCUGCAUCUUCUGUGAUUGGAGUGUCUUGUCUGCUAAGAGAUGGGAAGUGUAGCUUCUGUUUGUCCCUGUUGUAACGUUGGACUCUGGCCUCUCUGCCUUCCUCAGCUGAGAUUUAAUCUUGUGAAUGAGGCUGCCUUAAGGCAUUAUCCUAAGAUUCUCUAAUAAAAAGGCAAUGUCCUGGAAGAGCUAGGGGUGGAGGGAAGAGUGCCUCUCUGUAAUCUAGGAGCCUUCGAGAAGGAAAUCUGGGGGUUUUUGGCCCACGUGGUAACACAGAGGUGAUAAAACUUCCCAUUGCUUUUGUGAGGCUUGGACAAUUGCAGAGAUGAAAAAUCACAGUUGUGUUGUAAAUAAGAUGUUUGCAAUUCCCUCCUUGGGGAGUAGUGUUUAACUUCAUCUUUUGCUUAUGUGCACGAAACUAAAUACAUGCGUAUGUCUGGAUUCUGGAUUGCAUGCAUCUGGCUCCAUUAGAUUUCAUGUAAUUGCAUAUUGACUAAUGGCAUAAUACAGCUAUUUGACGACUGAAUUGAGGUCCAAAUGCUGCUAUUAGCAGUGUAAUCACUUUGGAUAAGUGAAUAGUUGGACUGUAGUACUUGAAAAUCAGAAACCGGGAGAAUAACCGUUCCGGGGUUUUCAAGGGAAAAGACCCAUUGUAACGUUUUGACUCAGAUGUAAACUAUUAUGAAUUCUAAUUUGUAGGUCAUGAGGAAAAGUAAUUGUGGUAAUUGUGAGACCUCUCAAUGCUUCAAAACUAAUGCCCUGUGCUGUCUUUUCAUUGCUUAUAUAUAAUAUAUAUGUAUGUAUAUAAACAUUUUCUUUUGCGAGUGAAGUGAUUUCAGAGUCUACAUGUGCUAUAAAUCUUUUAAUUAAAUAUGAAAUCUUUUGGAAAAGGUAAUUAUGUAUUUGUUUUUAAUCUGUGUUCAGUUCUCCGAAUGCACAGCCCGAGGCAAGCUUUGGUUGCUAGCAGAGGUGAUUCAAUAGCCUUGCACUAAUUAAAACAUAUUUGGUGUACAUGAAGUCAUCAGUAAUAG
ensembl:lncRNA